UGGACCAAUGAUGACUACUGGUGGCGUAUGAGUCAUUGAUGAUGAAUACUCUGGAACUCUGAGGUCCAA